AUUGAACGCUGGCGGCAGGCCUAACACAUGCAAGUCGAGCGGAUGAAGGGAGCUUGCUCCUGGAUUCAGCGGCGGACGGGGGGGUAAUGCCUAGGAAUCUGCCUGGGAGUGGGGGAUAACGUCCGGAAAAGGGCGCUAAUACCGCAUACGUCCUGAGGGAGAAAGUGGGGGAUCUUCGGACCUCACGCUAUCAGAUGAGCCUAGGUCGGAUUAGCUAGUUGGUGGGGUAAAGGCCUACCAAGGCGACGAUCCGUAACUGGUCUGAGAGGAUGAUCAGUCACACUGGAACUGAGACACGGUCCAGACUCCUACGGGAGGCAGCAGUGGGGAAUAUUGGACAAUGGGCGAAAGCCUGAUCCAGCCAUGCCGCGUGUGUGAAGAAGGUCUUCGGAUUGUAAAGCACUUUAAGUUGGGAGGAAGGGCAGUAAGUUAAUACCUUGCUGUUUUGACGUUACCAACAGAAUAAGCACCGGCUAACUUCGUG
rnacentral:rRNA from 1 species